GUCUACGUUUGCAUCCCCUCCACGCUCCAACUCCUCGGAGUGUACUCAAACUGAAAACGAACCUACUUGUUUACAUAGCAAAACCCCACGAGAAAUUGAAGAGCGAAUGGAUGUCAAAGCAAUAAAACGCGAUUACCUCAAGAAACUGAAUGGCUCUGAAAACGGUUUAGUAAGUGACUAACCGUUUAAUCUCAACUCCGUCGUUUUCAUUUCCGCUUCUGUCACCAUGAGUUUAAGACAGCGUCCGGUCGCUGGGCGCGGCGGCACUAGUAACCUUCCGCCGUUAAACUCUGUCUACAACAUUAUUCCCGUACACGACCUCUGGAACGACCACCCAUCGCUCCGAUAUCCAGAGGUACGCGCGGCGGCGGCGGCACUACGCGCCGUCGGAGACCUCCCGAAGCAUCAAUUCAUGCGGUGGGAGCCGGAGAUGGACCUUCUGGACUGGCUCCGGUUGCUGUUCGGGUUCCAAAUAGACAACGCUCGAAACCAGAGGGAGCACCUGGUUCUCCACCUCGCGAACUCGCAGAUGCGCCUCGAGCCGCCGCCAGCGAUCGCCGACGCGCUCGACGCCGGCGUGCUGCGGCGCUUUCGGCGGAAGCUGCUACACAACUACUCCGCGUGGUGCUCGUUCCUCGGACUGAAGUCAAACGUGCUGCUCUCGCGCCGUCGCGACCCGACCGAUCUCCGCCGCGAGUUGGUGUACGUUGCGCUGUACCUUCUGGUCUGGGGAGAGGCCGGUAACCUUCGUUUCACUCCCGAGUGCAUAUGUUAUAUUUACCAUUUCAUGGCGAAGGAAGUUAAUCAUGUUAUCGAUGAACACAUUGAUCCUGAUACUGGUCGUCCUUUUAUGCCUACGGUUUCUGGUGAAUUAGGGUUCUUGAAGUCUGUAAUUAUGCCAAUUUAUAAUACUAUUAAGGUUGAGGUUGAUAGUAGCAGAAAUGGAAAGGCUCCGCACUCUGCAUGGAGAAAUUAUGAUGACAUCAAUGAGUAUUUUUGGAGUAGGAGGUGUUUGAAGAGGCUGGGGUGGCCUUUGAAUUUUGAGAGUAAUUUCUUCGGGACUACUCCGAAGGAGAAGCGAGUAGGCAAGACUGGUUUUGUGGAGCAGAGGUCGUUUUGGAAUGUUUACAAGAGUUUUGAUAGGCUUUGGGUGAUGCUGAUUUUGUUCUUUCAGGCAGCGGUUAUUGUCUCUUGGGAGGGUACCACUUAUCCGUGGCAGGCCUUGGAGAGAAGGGAUGUGCAGGUGAAGAUGUUGACUGUGUUUAUCACUUGGAGUGCUCUGAGGUUACUUCAAUCUGUGCUUGAUGCCGGGACACAGUAUAGCUUGGUUACUAGAGAGACCACUUGGCUUGGAGUGAGGAUGGCGCUGAAGAGCAUGGUUGCCAUAACGUGGACUGUUUUGUUUUCGGUGUUUUAUGGAAUGAUUUGGAUCGAGAAGGGUUCGAGUUCAAUCUGGUCUGAUGCAGCCAAUCAGAGGAUUAUUACAUUUCUUAAAGUUGUCCUUUUCUUUCUUAUUCCCGAGUUGUUGGCAUUGGUGCUGUUCGUGGUACCAUGGUUGCGGAACGCCAUUGAGGAAUCAGACUGGAGCAUAGUAUAUUUGUUGACGUGGUGGUUUCAUUCUCGGAUUUUCGUGGGCCGGGGUGUGAGACAAUCACUUGUAGAUAAUGUUAAGUAUACUGUAUUCUGGGUAGCAGUAUUAGCUUCGAAGUUUUCAUUCAGUUAUUUUGUUCAGAUCAAGCCUCUAGUUGCUCCAACAAAGGCUCUUUUGAAUCUUAGGAACAUUCCUUAUAAAUGGCAUGAGUUUUUCAACAACACCAACAGGGUAGCAGUUGUCUUCCUAUGGUUGCCAGUUGUGCUCGUAUACUUCAUGGAUUUGCAAAUAUGGUAUUCGAUUUUCUCUGCCUUUUAUGGUGCAAUAAUUGGUCUGUUCUCGCAUUUGGGUGAAAUUCGGAAUAUAACACAACUCAGACUUAGAUUUCAGUUCUUUGCCAGUGCUAUGCAAUUCAAUUUGAUGCCAGAGGAGAAACUGCUAACUCCACAAGCUACACUGUUAAAGAAGCUUUAUGAAGCCAUCCAUAGGUUGAAACUGCGGUACGGACUUGGUCAGCCCUUCAAAAAGAUUGAAUCAAGCCAAGUGGAUGCUACCAGAUUUGCCUUAAUAUGGAAUGAGAUUAUGAUAACUUUUAGGGAGGAAGAUAUCAUCAGCUAUCGAGAACUUGAGCUCUUGAAACUGCCGCCAAAUUGCUGGAAUAUUAGAGUUAUUCGAUGGCCAUGUUCCCUUCUUUGCAAUGAGCUACUGCUUGCUGUCAGUCAAGCUAAAGAGCUAGAAAAUGAAUCUGAUUCUUCUCUUUGGUUGAAAAUAUGCAAGAAUGAGUAUCGUAGGUGUGCGGUUAUUGAAGCUUAUGACAGCAUUAAAUAUUUGUUCCCCAUGGUUCUUAAAGCUAAAAAAGAAGAGUAUUACAUUGUGACUAAUAUAUUCAGGGUCAUAGACCACUACAUUCAGAUGGGGAAAUUAACAGAAUCAUUCAAGAUGUCUCGGCUACCUCAGAUUCAUGCUAAGGUGAGUGAAUUUGUUCACCUUUUGAUACAACCAGAUAGAGACAUGAAUAAGGCUGUAAAUAUAUUGCAAGCUUUGUAUGAAUUAUUUGUUCGAGAAUUCCCAAAGGCAAAGCUACGUCAGGAUGGUUUGGCACGACAAAGUUCAACAACUAAUGAAGGAUUGCUCUUUGAGAAUGCUAUAACUUUUCCUGAUGCUGGAGAUGCAGUCUUUUCUGAGCAGCUCAGACGAUUGGAUACAAUUCUUACUUCUAGAGACUCUAUGCACAAUGUCCCAUUGAAUCUUGAGGCAAGACGACGAAUUGCCUUCUUUACCAAUUCUUUGUUCAUGAACAUGCCCCGUGCUCCGCUGGUUGAGAAAAUGAUGGCUUUCAGUGUUUUGACCCCAUAUUAUGAUGAGGAAGUUUUGUAUAGCAAAGAGUCUCUCCGAAAGGAGAAUGAGGAUGGUAUUACUACCUUAUUUUAUCUGCAAAAGAUUUAUGAAGAUGAAUGGAAAAAUUUUAUGGAAAGGAUGCAAAGAGAAGGGUUGAAAGAUGAGGAUGAUAUCUGGACUACAGAAAAGGCCAGGGAUCUCCGCCUUUGGGUAUCUCAUAGAGGUCAAACUUUGUCUCGCACAGUUAGAGGAAUGAUGUAUUAUUAUCGGGCUCUGAAGAUGCUGGCGUUCCUUGACUCCGCCUCUGAAAUGGACGUGAGACAUGAAUCAGAACAUACUGUUUCACAUAGUUCAACAAACCAAAACAACAGCUUAAAUGGCCUAUCCGCAAAUGGGCCUUCAUCUUUACGGACAAAUCUCAGGCCAGCAGAUAGCAGUGUGUCCACGUUAUUCAAGGGACAUGAAUAUGGGAGUGCACUGAUGAAAUUCUCGUAUGUGGUGGCAUGCCAAAUGUAUGGGCACCACAAGGCAGACAAGAAUCCCCGUGCUGAUGAAAUAUUGUAUUUGAUGCAAAAUAAUGAGGCCCUUAGAGUGGCUUAUGUUGAUGAGGUUUCUUUAGGGAGGGAGGGAACUGAAUAUUACUCUGUUCUUGUGAAGUAUGAUCAGCAGUUGCAGAGGGAGGUUGAGAUUUACCGGAUCCGGUUGCCCGGUCCUUUAAAACUUGGAGAAGGGAAACCAGAAAAUCAGAAUCAUGCCAUAAUCUUUACACGGGGUGAUGCAGUUCAGACCAUUGAUAUGAAUCAAGACAAUUAUUUUGAGGAAGCUCUCAAAAUGCGGAAUCUGCUAGAGGAGUUCAAUACGAACUAUGGUGUUAGCAAACCAACCAUUUUAGGGGUCCGAGAAAAUGUCUUCACAGGAUCAGUUUCGUCGCUUGCAUGGUUCAUGUCAGCUCAAGAGACAAGCUUUGUGACACUAGGUCAGCGUGUUCUGGCAAACCCUUUGAAAGUACGAAUGCACUAUGGCCAUCCAGAUGUGUUUGACAGAUUCUGGUUCUUGGGUCGUGGUGGAGUUAGCAAGGCCUCCAGAGUGAUCAAUAUCAGUGAAGAUAUUUUUGCUGGUUUCAAUUGUACCCUGCGAGGUGGCAAUGUUACACACCACGAAUAUAUACAGGUAGGCAAAGGAAGAGAUGUUGGUUUGAAUCAAAUAUCCAUGUUUGAGGCUAAGAUUUCUAGUGGCAACGGUGAGCAGGUUCUGAGCCGAGAUGUGUACCGUCUAGGCCAUAGAUUAGACUUCUUUCGCAUGCUUUCAGUGUUCUACACGACCAUUGGAUUUUAUUUUAACUCAAUGGUUAUUGUACUGAUGGUUUAUGCCUUCCUCUGGGGCCGCCUUUAUAUGGCUCUCAGUGGAAUUGAGGGUGCGGCCUCGGAUAAUGCAACAAACAAUGAAGCCCUUGGUGCAGUUCUAAAUCAACAGUUUGCAAUCCAGGUUGGUAUUUUCACUGCACUCCCAAUGAUCGUUGAAAACUCUCUGGAGCACGGUUUCCUUUCAGCUCUUUGGGACUACUUGACGAUGCAAUUGCAGCUUGCAUCACUAUUUUACACAUUCUCUUUGGGAACUCGCACACAUUUCUUUGGUCGGACUAUACUUCAUGGUGGCGCUAAGUACCGAGCCACUGGUCGUGGUUUUGUUGUGGCACACAAGAGUUUUGCUGAGAACUAUAGACUAUAUGCUCGAAGCCAUUUUGUGAAGGGUAUUGAACUUGGGGUUAUUUUAAUUGUGUAUGCUGCUCAUAGUCCCUUGGCUAAGGAUACUUUUGUGUACAUAGCUAUGACAAUCUCAUGCUGGUUUCUUGUCCUCUCAUGGAUAAUGUCUCCUUUUGUCUUUAACCCCUCUGGAUUUGAUUGGUUGAAGACUGUAUACGACUUUGAAGAUUUUAUGAAUUGGAUAUGGUAUCCAGGUGGGCCCUUCAAAAAGGCAGAAUAUAGCUGGGAAACGUGGUGGUACGAGGAGCAAGAUCAUUUAAAAACAACCGGUAUAUGGGGAAAGCUGUUAGAAAUCAUUUUAGACCUUCGAUUCUUCUUCUUUCAGUAUGGCAUUGUUUAUCAGCUAGGUAUUGCAGGUGGAAAUACUAGUAUAGCUGUUUACUUGUUGUCUUGGAUAGUCAUGGUUGUGAUUGUUGCCAUUUAUAUUACCAUAGCAUAUGCCAGGGAUAAAUAUGCUACAAAGGAGCACAUAUAUUACCGAUCAGUUCAGCUUCUUGUGAUCCUAGUCACAGUUCUUGUAGUUUUCCUCCUACUGGAAUUCGCUCAUUUAAAAUUUGUUGAUCUCCUAUCAAGCUUGUUAGCAUUCGUUCCAACAGGAUGGGGAAUGAUUUUAAUAGCCCAGGUGCUUAGGCCAUUUCUACAGACAACCAAAGUGUGGGAGACUGUUGUUUCUUUGGCUCGUCUAUAUGAUUUGUUGUUUGGCAUAAUUGUUAUGGCUCCAAUGGCUAUAUUCUCAUGGUUACCUGGAUUCCAAUCAAUGCAAACUAGAAUUCUCUUUAAUGAAGCUUUCAGCAGAGGUCUCCAGAUAUCUCGAAUAGUUAGUGGCAAGAAGUCUGUUUAAGGUGGUGAUUGGAGGUUGACCUAAAAUAAAAGGGCUACUAUGCCGAGUUGCUGAGAUGUGUUUCUGUAUAUUCCCAGGUGGUAGUAUCAACAUUGAUAGUGAACCCGUAUAACUUACCAUUAUCUAACACAAGAUUGAGGACCAACCACUAAUGGCAAGUCAAAGCUCGUUGUAUGCAGUGGCAAAUGGAUGCCUACAGAUAAUGUCGUGUAUUGUUAUGUGAAAACGUAAAAGUAGGUUUAGUUUUCUUUCGGUGACACUCCAUGACACAAUCUAUUAAGGAAGGGGUCGGAUUGUUGCCUUGUAAUUUUGCUGCAACACAGGUUGAGUCUCUGUAGUUUAAUAUUAGAGGAUUAUCAGAUGUUAUGCCUGUCUAUCGUUUGCUGUACAUCCUGUUCAUAUGUAGUGCAACCUAUUCUAACAGAACAUGACAUUGCCACUGAAUCAACCAUAUUUAAGACUUAACAUUGUCAGUUA